GAUUUUGUUGUUGUUGUUGUUGCUAUUUCUUGAGCCGCUCCCGUGGCAUAUGGAGGUUCCCAGGCUAGGGGUCCAAUCGGAGCUGUAGCCACCGGCCUACGCCAGAGCCACAGCAACGCAGGAUCCGAGCCACGUCUGCAACCUACACCACAGCUCACGGCAACACCGGAUCGUUAACCCACUGAGCAAGGGCAGGGACCGAACCCGCAACCUCAUGGUUCCUAAUCGGAUUCGUUAACCACUGCGCCACGACGGGAACUCCCACAUGUUAUGGGAGUUAGGUUGCUAGAAAAAGGAGUCUUAGUUCCUUUUAAAGAUAGUUUUAGAAUCAGUAUAUAGACUGCUAAACUAUUUGCCAAGGAAAGCACUUUUCUAUCUACAGUUGAAUUUUUUAGCAUAGAUAGCAGGCCAGGACUGCAUACUUCAAAGAUAGCUAAGUUUCAUGAAGAGUAGACAGUAGCAGUGUGUGGGUUCUAUCAGCUCUGUCUCAGUCUUGUGGAAUUCCAGAGACAAAAUAUAUUUUGCUUGUUCACUUCUCAAGUCUUUUCUGCUUCUCUUUAGUAGGCAAUUUAACAUCCCAACUCUGAAGCUUCAUCCUAGAUUUCUAGACAUUUCAAUGUCUAAGCUGUGAGGAAGAAUUUCGUCUGUUUCAAAUCUUCUUUCACAGGGCAGAUCUAGUUUUUGGGAAAGUCUGAAGCUUAAGAGAAAAAAAUAUAAAAUUUUUAAUAUGAAAUUAGAUGUAAAAGUAAACAAUUUAUUAAGGACAAUGAAACAAAAUCACAAAAAAUUACUGGAGGCUUGGGAAUCCAGAAUUUUUUUUUUUUUUUUGAAAUCUCUUUGCCAGUUUAUCAGAAGUGCUUAUCUAGAAAUCCUUCCUGCUAUGACCCUGCUCUCCCUUUCCUGCCAGAACAUUCUGUGGCUCCCAGCACUCAGAAUGGCAGGCCCUGAUGUAUAAGCUUUAUUAAGCUUCAUCUGUCUCUCUCUGCCUUCUUCAGAGCCUGUCCUUCCAGGCCCCAUUAGUUAUCCAAGAGCAUUUACCUCUUCCAAAGGGAUGAAAACAUACCUCAGGAGGUGGUUCUCCUCAGUUAGAAUUCUGGGAUUCCUCUUGAACAGAGAGACUUAAUCUGACAGAACAGAGGUGCUGUUAGAAUUGUGUCCUUUCUCCAUUCCUAUGCUGAAAUCCUAACCUCCAGCACCUCUGAAUGAGAAGUAGGGCCUGUAUUUGGCAAUGGGCCCUUUAAAGAGGUAAGUAAUGUAAAAUGAGGUCAUAUGGGUGGGUCCUAACUCAAUACGGCCGUUAUCCUUAUAAGGGGCAGAGAUUAGGACCCAAGCAGACACAUAAGGAAGACACAGGGAGAAGAUGACCAGCUACUAACCAAGGACAGAGGCCUCAGAAGGAACCAACGCUGCCAACACCUUGAUCUUAGACUAUCAGCUUCCAGAACUAUGAGAAAAUGAAUUUCCAAAGAGGAUAUGCCUAACCCAUCCAGGAGUCAGGUGUGGGGAAGUGGAGGAUGAUCAGGUCUAGUAAUAGCCUGUUUGGGGCCAGAAGACUGGGCCUCCCCACUCCCUUUGAGAGGUGACUGCUAACACACAGGCCUAAAUUGUUGAUCUUAGCUCUCCCAGCAAUGUUUAUUUGAACAGUUCAGCAUGUCACUGAGUAGCAGGUGAUUAAGCGUGAAUUUGCAGAGAAGAGAUCAGUAGGUGGCACAGUUAGGAAACAGCCACCACCUGGAGUCAGUGGUUACCCCUACCAGGAAUGAGAUCUGAAAAGGCAGCAGGAGGGAUGGUUACAAUGCACUUGCAACAGAUUGGAAUGCAAGUCAAUCAAGUGUAAGAUAGAGGAGAAGGCGCUGCCACUGGGAGCUGCUCACAGGGAACCAGCCCACUUCUCAGAGAGGACUCCUUAGGACACAGUGGCAUUCUGUAGGCUACUGACACUCAGGAUAACCCAUUCUUCCCUUAGGCUUGCAAUCCCGGAGGCAGUCCGUUUAACAUGCCAUCCUACUGGAACGUAGUGGCCCCUCCUUCUGUCUCUAUCUCACUGUAUCCGUUUGCUAGGGAUGCUGUGCUUUCUCAUCUUUCUAUAUAGUGCAGCUGAAUAGACAGAUACCAAGAAAAUAUUCACUGAUUGCAUGCAGAGAUUUCUGAAUGAAAUAGGAGAUUUCUGAGACACUGGAAGGAAGCUUCGCUUAGUAGAGAAGGCAUGUUGGACGUAUUGUCGCUGGACAGUCUUGGAUUGUGCUCCACCAUUUAUGCCAGUAAGUGGGAAGGGCCACUUCUUUUAAACAUUAGUUUUCUCCUUUGUUGAAUGAGGCUAAAAGCAGCCUCUACUAGGACUUAUUUAAUUGAUCAUGAUGACAGAGAGAUAGAGCACAAAGUUACCAUGAGAAGUAUCUUGCCUGCCUGUUCCAGACCAUUACUCUGGUCAUGCAUCAGAUUUGUCUGAGGAGAGUUUAAAUUUAGAAGUAUCCAGGUCCAGUUCCAAGGUCUGACUCGUAAGCCUAGGGUGAACCCUGUUAAUCUGCAUUUUUAUAAAUUCCCUUCAGUGAUGCGACUUUGCAAGCAAAUUAGGGAACCUGGACUAUCCUCAUUGACUUCAGAAUCAUUCAUAAAUAAUGGGCAUUAGAGAUCUCUGGUAGAGACUUAGAGUUUACACCCUUUCUCAUUACCAUAAAACUCUGUUAAUCACAAAUCGCCUCAUGAGCUUUUAUGUCUUAUACACAUGCUUGAGAGCUGCUAUAUGAAAUGUUUCAAGUUUUAGUAUAAUUAUAUUUGAUCACUUUUCCACACUUUCACCUCUAUCAAACAAAAUAAAAUAGGUUGAUCAUUAGAAAUAAAAACAUAUAGUUAUGUUUUAAAAAUAAGAAAAAAAAUCCAUAAGCUUAUCACUAGUUUCAGUCUUAAUUGUAGCAAUUGUGUGACUAUUUACAUUUCAGUAAUUCUGUUGGCUAAAAUGUGAACCUCUUAUUUACUUUUUUUAGUCUGUAUUUCUUGUCUGGUAGACACAACUGUUUGUAUAACUUGCUGAUUCCUUAACUUAAACAAAAUUCCUUGCCUGAUUUCCAUCCCUCUUGUCCUGAUACUUCCCUUUAAAACAAAAGAACAGUGGUCUUCUAAGGAAUGAUGAUUUUUUUGCCAGUUGUAUCCCUUUUGGUGGAUUUCCCCCAAGCUCUAGCAGUUAUCCCUUCAUAAAUUUGAGGGCAGCGCCCCUUUUCCUCUUGCUCCACUGUCACCCAUUCAUGCCUCUGCCAUCUAUUUGCAUUACCUAUAUGUUAUGGAUCGAACUGUGUUCUCCCCAAAUUCAUAUGUGGAAGCCCUAGCCCCACCCUUGACUCUAUUUGGAGAGGAAUCCUUUAAAAGGGUAAUUGAGAUUAGAUGAAGUCAUAAAGAUGGGGCCCUGAUCUGAAAGGACUGGUUUCCUUGUAAAAAGAGGAAGAAAUCCCAGGCCAUGUACCAUCUCUCUUUCUCUUUCUCCCCUCAUCUGCACAGAGGAAAGACCAUGUGAGGACAGAGAGACAAGGUAACCAUUUCUAAGUGUGGGAGAGAGGCCUCACCAGAAGCCAACCCUGCUGGAACCUUAAUCUUAGACUUCCAGCCUCCAAAACAGUGAGAAAAUACACUUCUGUUGCUUUAGUCACCCAGCUUGUGGUAUUUUGUUAUGGCCACUCAGCCUGAUUAAUAUGCUCUUUGUCACUGUGUGCUUAGAGGAACUGGCUUCCCUCUUUCCAGAUCAUCCUACGCAAGUAGCACAAUCAGCACAGCUAUUACAGAAGCUUUCUAUUGCUGCAUGCCAGUUUACCACAACCUUAGUGAUUUAAAACAACGCCCAUUUAUUAUCUCACAGUUUUUAUAAUUUCAGUAGUGUGGGCACAGGGUAACUAGGUUCCCUGCUCAAAGCCUUGCAAGCUGCAGUUAAGGUGCAGUUGGAAUAGUAGUCUCAUCUGAAAUUAAGAGGGCUCUUCUAAGCAUAUGAUUUUUGGCAGCAUUCAUUUUCAUGCAGCUGUAGAAUUCACCGUGGCUCUUUUAAACUCAGUAGAGAAUCUCUGAAAUUUACAGUCUUUUUUAAAGAGCUAAUCCGAUUAGGCCCAUCCAUUACAAUCCUGUCUUGAGAGAGUCAGAGUCAACUGGUUAAGAUUCUUAAUUAUCUGUAAAAAUUCCCUUUGUCCAUCAUAUGCAAAGGUCUUGUCCAAAAUCAAGGUGAGGGAAUUGCACAUGGUGCCUAUAUACUAGGGGGUGAGAAUCUUGAGGGCUGUCUUAGAUUUCUACCUACCCUAUGUCUGAUUCCUUGCUUCCGAUUCAGUACUAAAGGUUAUGCACAAUUGCUUUGAUAUGUAGUUUCUGUUGUAAUCAAGCAUAAAAUGAUAUACAAAUGAAAAGAUGGCAAUGUACAUAAUAAGCAUUAGUGCUGUUGGAGUGGUGCAGGCACAAAACAGGUAAUGUUACAAUAAUAUAAUAAUUAUUUAUUGAUCAAGUAAAUAGUCCCUUCUCAUUCUGCCAAUGAAUAUGCUCUUAUCUCUAUAUGCUUAGUCAAUAUUUAAAAUAAUCACACAAUGAUGAGGUAUUUUCAGCAUUAUUAUGGUUUUGAUCAGUUAAUAAACCCUGCCUAUUAAAUAUUAUAGAAAUUUUGGUUUUGUUUUCUUCUGAUGGGUUGGACAGAAUUAAUGGUAGCCCUGUAUAUGGAGUAAAUGGAGCAGGAAGGCUUAGGGUCAAGUGGCCUUCUCAAGGAUGCUAGUUCAAGGUGGCCAGAGGAAUCAUAUAAAGAGAGCACUGUUGAGGGCAACCAAGGUUGAAGCUAGGAAAGUGGUGGUAAGUGACAGAUUCAGCAGGUAAGGUAAGGAUGAAAAUGGGCAGCAAAGUUAGUAGACAGAUGUUAGAAGGCAGUAUGAAGUCAGCUGCAAGGAAGAGAUCUGAGAGAGCGAUUUAGAACUAAAACAGUGAACAGAAUGGGAGGGCAGGCUCUCCUGUUUUACACUGUUCCUGGUGUAGGCAUCAGGGGAAGUGUGGGAUUGGCAACCUAAGGAAUUGCACAGUAUCUUAUGCCCUAGGUGGAGCCUUUCUGUGGAUUUAUAGGAUACCUCUAUUCUGUGUACUUAUAGUGCACAACUUAAUGGGCCGUAAACAGAUAAUUUGUGGUAAAUUCUGUUUAAUUUAGAAACUAAAAUGUUUUCCCAUGGAUUCAGUGUUACACGAAGCUUGAUUAGAUUUUCAAGGCAAUCCAAGAACACUAUUUAAUGUCUAUUUUACUAAGAAUGUUAUAGAAAUGUUUAAAUGGUUUUUUUGGAAAUCAAAAUAUGUUAUCUUUUCAGAUUGCUUUAUAAGAAAUAGUUCUAAUGUAUGUAUUAUCAGUUUCUUAAGUCAUGAGUAACUAAAAUACUUCUGUAACUUACCACUAUUUGCUUGAAAUUAUAAUUUUUUGAUUUCUUCAUCUUGUGUGAAUAAGUGCAUUAAUUUCCAUUUAAACUUUGAUUUGAUAUUAAAAUUAGAACAACUUGUUCAAAUCCUGUAGUUUUUAUAUUGAAUAAAUAUUGCUAAAUUUUCAUUGAACAAGUUGGCUUAAAUUUAGUUUUGGAAAGUCAUCAAAAUAUUUUCCUUCCUCAUUUAUCACUUCAGAUCCAAAUUCAUUUUCAUUUUCUUCCUUGGUAAAGUUACUUCAUUAGGCAUCUCCUUGCUCAGCUUAUAUACAUUAAAUUUUUUUGUAGUAGUAACUCAUUUUAUAUAUUACACAUUCUAUGCUUUUAUGUUCGGGAGCAUAAUAUAUAUGUAUUGUAUACAUUUGGUCCCAUAUUAAAUUACUAUGAGACUUCUUUCACUUUUAUGGCUAUGAAGAACCUUUUGAGGUUACCCUAUAGUAAUAGCCCGUUCAAUCUACUAAAAAAAUGAGAGCUAUUCAGAAAAAGUGAAUAAUAUGUCCAAUAUAGCACAAGUUAAAACUGAGAUAUAACCAGGAUUCUGAUGUCUUAACUCCCUAUUCAGUGACUCUUUUUGAUAUACCAUGCCACCUUGCCUGUAGCAUUUGUUUUCAUUUUAGAUUCUGGGCUGGACUACUUUCCAAAUAAGUAUCUUAUGUAUAAUUUUAUGCAAUUUCACAAUUUAAAAAAGUCAACCAAAUAAUGCAAAGGGGUUAGCAGAAUCUUUAGAUUGAAAGAGGCAUAUGAUCCUGUACUCCCUUCUCAAACUUUAAUCACGUUGCUUUGUAGUAAUGUUAAGAAGGAUUAAAUAUUGAGCCUAAGGGCACUGAGACGUGAGUAGCAUAGAACUUAGUUCUAUAGCCUCCCCCUCUGCACAAAUGGAAAAGAUUCAUGACCACAUUGUUUAGCUGUUUAAACUCCUAGAAAAAAAAAAAGAAGAAGUAUGAUAAUAAGAUUUAGCCAUGUUAACUUAUAAAACGUGAUACUUAUGAAGUUUAAGGAACAAGAAAGUACAGAGUUGUAGAUCUAGGUGCUUCUACAUUUCAGAAAUCACUCAGAGUUUAAUCAUUCAUGAAACAAGAGUUUACUGAGUUUCUUUGGUUAGACAGGUGUUCCCCACCCUCCAGACACUUAUUAUUUGAGGUAAAAAGGAAAAAUGACAGAGAGAAGGUGGG
rnacentral:lncRNA from 1 species